GAUGAACGCUAGCGAUAGGCUUAACACAUGCAAGUCGAGGGGCAGCAUGGUCUUAGCUUGCUAAGACUGAUGGCGACCGGCGCACGGGUGCGUAACGCGUAUGCAACUUGCCUCACAGAGGGGGAUAACCCGUCGAAAGACGGACUAAUACCGCGUACACUCCACUUUGGGCAUCCAAAGUAGAGGAAAUGAAAUUCGCUGUGAGAUAGGCAUGCGUCCCAUUAGCUAGUUGGUGAGGUAACGGCUCACCAAGGCGACGAUGGGUAGGGGAACUGAGAGGUUGAACCCCCACACUGGUACUGAGACACGGACCAGACUCCUACGGGAGGCAGCAGUGAGGAAUAUUGGUCAAUGGGCGAGAGCCUGAACCAGCCAAGUCGCGUGAAGGAUGACUGUCUUAUGGAUUGUAAACUUCUUUUAUACGGGAAUAACAAGAGUCACGUGUGGCUCCCUGCAUGUACCGUAUGAAUAAGCAUCGGCUAACUCCGUGCCAGCAGCCGCGGUAAUACGGAGGAUGCGAGCGUUAUCCGGAUUUAUUGGGUUUAAAGGGUGCGUAGGCGGCCUGUUAAGUCAGCGGUGAAAUCUAGGAGCUUAACUCCUAAAUUGCCAUUGAUACUGGUGGGCUUGAGUGUAGAUGAGGUAGGCGGAAUGCGUGGUGUAGCGGUGGAAUGCAUAGAUAUCACGCAGAACUCCGAUUGCGAAGGCAGCUUACUAAGGUACAACUGACGCUGAAGCACGAAAGCGUGUGUAUCAAACAGG
rnacentral:rRNA from 1 species